rnacentral:rRNA from 1 species
UACGUAGGGUGCGAGCGUUGUCCGGAAUUAUUGGGCGUAAAGGGCUCGUAGGCGGUUUGUCACGUCAGGAGUGAAAACUCGGGGCUCAACCCCGAGCCUGCUUCUGAUACGGGCAGACUAGAGGUAUGCAGGGGAGAACGGAAUUCCUGGUGUAGCGGUGAAAUGCGCAGAUAUCAGGAGGAACACCGGUGGCGAAGGCGGUUCUCUGGGCAUUAACUGACGCUGAGGAGCGAAAGCGUGGGGAGCAAACAGG